rnacentral:rRNA from 1 species
GACAGAGGGUGCAAACGUUGUUCGGAAUUACUGGGCGUAAAGCGUGUGUAGGCGGUGAGGUAAGUCGGAUGUGAAAGCCCAGGGCUCAACCCUGGAAGUGCACUCGAUACUGCUUCGCUUGAGUACUGGAGAGGUCGGUGGAAUUCCGAGUGUAGAGGUGAAAUUCGUAGAUAUUCGGAAGAACACCAGUGGCGAAGGCGGCUGACUGGACAUGUAUUGACGCUGAGGUGCGAAAGCGUGGGGAGCAAACAGGAUUGAGAUACCCCGUGUAG